rnacentral:rRNA from 1 species
CCUACGGGAGGCAGCAGUGAGGAAUAUUGGUCAAUGGACGAGAGUCUGAACCAGCCAAGUAGCGUGAAGGAUGACUGCCCUAUGGGUUGUAAACUUCUUUUAUAAAGGAAUAAAGCGAGGCACGUGUGCCUCUUUGCAUGUACUUUAUGAAUAAGGAUCGGCUAACUCCGUGCCAGCAGCCGCGGUAAUACGGAGGAUCCGAGCGUUAUCCGGAUUUAUUGGGUUUAAAGGGAGCGUAGAUGGGUUGUUAAGUCAGUUGUGAAAGUUUGCGGCUCAACCGUAAAAUUGCCAUUGAUACUGGCAGUCUUGAGUACAUUUGAGGUAGGCGGAAUGCGUGGUGUAGCGGUGAAAUGCUUAGAUAUCACGAAGAACCCCGAUUGCGAAGGCAGCUUACUAAACUGUGACUGACAUUGAUGCUCGAAAGUGUGGGUAUCAAACAGGAUUAGAUACCCCUGUAGUC